rnacentral:lncRNA from 1 species
UUCAUCUGAGCAGUACCUAGUGACUUGUUUCACAAUCAAGUAGUUCUGGAAGCCCCUUAAAGCAUAGAAGUAAGUCACCAUACUCUUCCUACUCCGGGCGAAAAUCAAUCCUUGUUCCCUCCCCAUGGAGCAUGGAACAUAUACAUCAGCAGUUCAUGUUCACUCCUUAAAUGGUCAUUCAGAGAAGCAUGUAGCCUGCUGCAAAAAUAUAGUAAAUCCUGUCCAAAGCAACAAUCUCUAAGAUACAACCAUAUCUACUUCAAAUGCAAUAAAAAAAUUAGUGCUUGUGUUUCCAAAAACAAAUGUUAACAUCUCUGGCUAUAUUACUUUGAAUCGAGAUAUCUGCUAUGGAGUUCAUGAAAUAUAUUUUGUAGAUAAUGGCUCAUCCAAGUUAAGUACAUGUAUAGACAUGAACAAAGCAAUGUAAAGGCCAUACUGUAAUAAUCACAAAUCUUCAGCAUAUCACCUUGAUAAAGUAUUAGUAUAAAACUAUAAAUACUCUAAAGGAACGUCUUUUACUCAAUGAUAAGCAACUCAAUUUCUAUUAAUAACUUAACUGGCAAUAUAACUUGUUCAUAUGCGAUAAAACUUAUCAUGGAAAUUAGCACAAGCUAUGUAGUCUGUUGCUUGUGUGCUCUCCUAUAUAACUACUUGGUAAACGCACAAGCAGCACAUUUACCUACUCAUCAUGUGAAACUCUGCAGGAAGCUUCACAAAUGCACUCACCUUUCUGAAAAGCAUAGUAGACACCACGAUUGUUCAAACUAUACGAGAUUAAAAAAAACUAACACGAGAACCUCGUAUCAGCCGGCGAGGGACGUGCUCGCCAAUUUUUUGGCGACCGAUUUCGGCGCCCUGGAUGCGCCCACGAGUUGGCAGAAGUAACACUGAGCCUUCGGGGCGAGCCAAUAUU